AUGUUUCAGGUCCCUGAGAAAAGCUCGCAGGAGGCUCUGAUCCUGGAGGAAGAGAGCGACAUCGUGCCGAGCUACAUCCUACCUCAGCCUCCGAGCAGGUGCCGGAGCCUCUACCUGCCGGAGAAGGACUACGACGACGCCAACCCCUUCUUCGACGACGACGAAGACGACCGCUCCUCCCUUCUCAACUCGACGAUCAACCUGGACGUGGACUUCGGGGACGACAUCGAGAACCACGACCAGGCCUACAACAACCGCACCCGCUACAACCUCACCGACGACACCCGGGCCCGCUACACGGCCGACAUGUGCGAGAAGAACAACCGCAAGAACGACCCGAAGAAGAGCGACCCGGGCCGGACGCGGAUCAAGCGGAGCGACACCUUCCACAACAUCCACAACGAGAUCCAGCAGAAGUUCUACGACGUCUCGGCCAUGAUCAACCGCCGAGGGAGCUUCGACGGUCUCUUCCACAAACCCCGGGAGCCCAAGAUCGGCACCUCCAAGUCGUCCGCCUCCUCGGACAAACGCCUCAAGUCCAAGAGCCUCGACCGGAUCGAGGACGGCAUCGAGAGGUUCAUCGACAUCGUCGUCACCUCGGACAAGCUUCCGGACUGUGACCAAUGCGACGGCAAAAGGAACAACUGCUGCCGCCGCGUCAAGAAACCGCCCGUGACCAAGCCCAUCUACUUCAACGACGUCUACAAGAACGUCUCGCGCAUCCCCUCUCGGACGGACAAGUACGGCAUCCUCAAGGACUCGAACAAAGCCAAGAGCGAGGCUUAUACCAAUGUCCGCGUGGACAAGUCGCGGCGGACCUCGCCGGCCCUCGACGGAGGCGUCCCGUACAUCAUGCCGAAGAUCUACGUGGGCACGGACCUGGGCUCCAAGGUGGACAAGCGAGACCCGAGCGGAAAGAAGGCAUCCGAGUCGGAGUUCAUCCUCAAGAGGGGCAACAAGAUCGCGGGCCUGUACUCGAACCAGUACCCGGAGUACGACCAUCCUGCGCCCAACCGACCGCGAGGGCCCGUUAAUAGAUCUCCUAGUAAUUUGAAAAGCGUCGACCUCAACUACAGGCGCUCCACACCCAAGUUGGCCGACACGCCGUCCGGUUUAUAUUGA
rnacentral:lncRNA from 1 species